GAAUGCCAUUUUUCCCUUCAUAUCUCAUUGAAGAAGUGGAUGUAGAAGCUGCACCAAUGCCUCCUUUGUCAUGAGAACCUUUAGCUUGUUUCAUUAUAGAUUUGAGACUUUCUUCUCCUUGAACAAACUUUCCCAUGGCUUUCUGAAGAUCUUUGACUUCUUGCUCCAAUGACUUGAUCUUUUCAGCUUGAAUAGAGAUUUCGGCUAAGCUUUGGGAUUUGCUUAACUCGAAUGCCUCCAAGCUUGCAUCCUUAGCUUUAAGAUCUGCUCUCAGCGAGCUGAGUUCCUUCAUGAGUGUAUCAUUCCUUCUUUGGAUUUGCA
rnacentral:lncRNA from 1 species